CAAGCCUGUUGUCAUGUCUGCGACUUCUUAAGCACAUGAAACUGUAUGAAUCUGUACAGUCUACAGAACUAUAUUUAUUAUCUAGAAGUAGUUAGCAUUGAUUUUGUGGACCUGCAACCAGCACAGAAAAAACGUUAGGAGCUUAGUAUUACUAUUACUCUGUUACUUUUCCUGAUGCUUGUUAAUAAUCACUUUAACAAACAGAGGUUGAGGUUCUUUGGGAAAAAAAUCUUUCUUCACAAGGAGAAAUAGACUGAAAAUUGAAGCAUGGUUUGCUUUUGUGUAUUUGUAUACAAUAUAUUUCUAGUUCUGCAUGUCCUUUUUAAGAUGUAAAAGCGCUCUCAAGUUUGCUAAGGCCAUAAAAUAGCACUAACUAUAUGAAGCCAAACUGUCAGAACAGUUCGGAUAGUGUGUAGUAGUAGUGUUCGUUUUUAAUCUUUUCUCCAUUUAGGAAAGACUUGCUGCUUAAUCUUUUCUCCAUUUAGGAAAGACUUGCUGCACAGCUGGUGGAGAAGGACAGCGAUCUUAGUAAGUGGCGUGAAGAGAGAGAUAAAUUAGUAGAAGCUUUGGAAGUACAGCUCAAGACUUUGGCUUCUAAGACCAUACAAAAAGAUAAAGAAAUAGCAGAACUGAAACAGUCUGUCCUAAAGGAUUCGGGAAAGGAUAAUGAAACUGUGAUAGAACUAAGAAAACAGUUGGCUGAUAAAGAGGACUUCAUAAAGGAAUUGAAAAAAUGCAUUAACCAUGAAAGCCUUCAGUUUUCACCAGAAGUACCUUUACAUGAAGAAAGUCAAGAUACAGUGGAUUUACCUGUAAACAAAGAGUUUAUGAAGAAACAGAGUGAGAUUAAUCCAAUCACUGGAGACACUGUUCCAAUAAGACAUGAAGUUAAGGAGAAUGAUUCCAACAGUGCUUCUUCAUUAAGUGAAACUGAGGUUGGUAUGGAACUUUAAACUGGAAAGUUUUAUAGUUGUAUAGUGUAUGGAUUUGAUAAGUAAAAAAAUGGGUAGGAAACAGUGUCAUGUCUGAACAAUUCUGAAGUUAUUCUGCAGGUAUCUUUUGACGUGAUCAGAUUGUCUGAUUUGAGAGCUUUUGGUAGCACCAAAAGCUGAAGAAACGUAACUUAGUGGUGAAUUUUAUCUAUGUGCUUUUGAAAACUUUCAUUAUAAAGUAGCUGAUUAGAUAAGCCACCUGGAAAAACACUUCUGAAGCUAUGUUAGCUGAGGAUGCUAACCAACCCUAUGCAAAUCUUUGAUUGCUAUCUUUCAUAAAGUAGCAGUUAGAUAAAGAAAAAUGUUAUUAUUAACCAACUCAUUCUUGGAAAUGCAAGAUGUGUGCUUCGGCUGUGAGGUGGUACAAGAGAAAAUCUUCAGCUUGUUGACAGCGUUGCUGUCUGAAUGCCUGGGCUUUCUCCAGGGAAAAAAAGUGAUGAGACUCCUGCAGAUUGAAUUUGGCUUGUAGCUUGCCAGCUGGACCUUGUUAUUUACACAAUUAACUUCCAUAGUGUUGAAGGAGAAGGGCAAACUCUCUGAAGAUAGGCUACAGAGAAAUUCAAUUGUUCUGUCUAAAGCUCUUGUAUCUGCCUAAAGCUCUUG
rnacentral:lncRNA from 1 species